rnacentral:rRNA from 1 species
UACGGGGGGGGCAAGCGUUGUUCGGAAUUACUGGGCGUAAAGGGCUCGUAGGUGGCCAACUAAGUCAGACGUGAAAUCCCUCGGCUUAACCGGGGAACUGCGUCUGAUACUGGAUGGCUUGAGUUUGGGAGAGGGAUGCGGAAUUCCAGGUGUAGCGGUGAAAUGCGCAGAUAUCAGGAGGAACACCGGUGGCGAAGGCGGUGGUCUGGGCCGGAACUGACGCUGAGGAGCGAAAGCGUGGGGAGCGAACAGG